CAUGGAGUGGAGCAGCCCGGUAGCUCGUCAAGCUCAUAACCCGAAGGUGGUCAGUUCAAAUCUGGCCUCCGCAACCA
rnacentral:tRNA from 1 species